rnacentral:rRNA from 1 species
UGCAGUCGAACGGCAGCACGGGAGCAAUCCUGGUGGCGAGUGGCGAACGGGUGAGUAAUACAUCGGAACGUGCCCAAUCGUGGGGGAUAACGCAGCGAAAGCUGUGCUAAUACCGCAUAAGAUCUACGGAUGAAAGCAGGGGAUCGCAAGACCUUGCGCGAAUGGAGCGGCCGAUGGCAGAUUAGGUAGUUGGUGAGGUAAAGGCUCACCAAGCCUUCGAUCUGUAGCUGGUCUGAGAGGACGACCAGCCACACUGGGACUGAGACACGGCCCAGACUCCUACGGGAGGCAGCAGUGGGGAAUUUUGGACAAUGGGCGAAAGCCUGAUCCAGCCAUGCCGCGUGCAGGAUGAAGGCCUUCGGGUUGUAAACUGCUUUUGUACGGAACGAAAAGGUUCUUUCUAAUAAAGAGAGCCCAUGACGGUACCGUAAGAAUAAGCACCGGCUAACUACGUGCCAG